UACAGAGGUCUCAAGCGUUGUUCGGAUUCAUUGGGCGUAAAGGGUGCGUAGGCGGCGCGGUAAGUCGGGUGUGAAAUCUCGGAGCUUAACUCCGAAACUGCAUUCGAUACUGCCGUGCUUGAGGACUGGAGAGGAGACUGGAAUUUACGGUGUAGCGGUGAAAUGCGUAGAUAUCGUAAGGAACACCAGUGGCGAAGGCGGCUAACUGGUCCGAUACUGACGCUGAGGUGCGAAAGCGUGGGGAGCAAACAGG
rnacentral:rRNA from 1 species